GUGUGUGUGUGUGUGUGUGUGUGUGUGUGUGUGUGUGUGAGUGAGUGAGUGUGUGUGUGUGUGUGUGUGUGUGUGUGUGUGUGCGUGUUUUGACCAAAGUGACACAAACAGGAAGACGAGGAGAAGCCUUCUUUUCUCCGUCAGCCCUUUUCGCUUCCCCUUUCCUCUCCGGCAGGCCUCCUCGUGGGGGAGAGGGUCGAGGAGCAGCCGUUGGAUUGUGACUCACCAUCCUCCUCCUCCCUGCUCCUCCCUGCUCCUGUGGUUUCAUCUUCUGGACUUUAGUUCCUUAUUAUUCAUGUGAGCCGGUGCAGAACUCAGCUGAUCGGCCGUACGUUACUUUCAGGCCACUGGCUCCGUGCCACCUUUCCCUCAGCCCUCCUCUCCUCUCCUCCCCUCCCCUGUGAAGCGCAGCUCUCCUGGGACGCUCCUGCACCGGCCUCCGGCUUUGUGGAUCUGCCGCCUGCAGGCGUCUGGACUCCACAGAUUUCCCAGGAUGAUGUAACGACCUCCAUCGCUCACUGACCUGUAGGCGGAACAUGUGAAAGUGACACGUGGCUGAAGUCGCUCAGACAUUAAUCACUGCCCGCCCCCCCUGCACAAUGGGCUCAUGAUGGAUGAUGAGGAUCCACAGAGACAUUCCUGAUUUGUCUAACACAAAGGUCAGAGGUCAAAUAUGACCCCUGGAUUUCAUAAUGACUGAAAUAUCAUGAUGAAACCUCAGUCAGGCUUUUGUUCCAUCCGGAAGCAGAACAAAGAUCUGAUUCCAGAUCCUGAGGCGACGUUUGUGCGAUCCAGAGUUGUCUCUGAUUAAAAAUGUUGACUUGUCAGAGGUGAUGAUGACUGUGAUGGUUCGUGUGAACGGAGAUCGGCUCCGACCUGACGGACACACGUGACCCUGCAGUGGAAAUCAACAUAUCUUCCAUGUUUGAUCCUGUUAUUAAAUAUCUGAGCUGUUCCGGUCUCCGGCUGACGCGUCAUGUGACGUAA